rnacentral:lncRNA from 1 species
UUUUUAAUUAGCUAGAAUAGCACUUUAUUAUCCAAAUGUAAGCUUACAAAAUUUCUCUUACUUCAAAUGAACCUUGAUACGAGCAUAUCUUGACUUAUCAUAUCUUGACUUAACACCAUGAAAAUGAGAGUUUUUAUAAAAUCUUCCAAAAUUCUUGGCAUCAGUGUCCUAUCUAGUAUUUGUAUGAAAGUAAUAUGUGAUGAAUUGUGACUGAUCCUUCACAUCAGCAAAAUUCUCCAAAGAUUC